AUUGAACGCUGGCGGCAUGCCUUACACAUGCAAGCCGAACGGCAGCACGGGAGCAAUCCUGGUGGCGAGUGGCGAACGGGUGAGUAAUAUAUCGGAACGUGCCCAGUCGUGGGGAUAACGUAGCGAAAGCUACGCUAAUACCGCAUACGAUCUAUGGAUGAAAGCGGGGGAUCGCAAGGACCUCGCGCGAUUGGAGCGGCCGAUAUCAGAUUAGGUAGUUGGUGAGGUAAAGGCUCACCAAGCCGACGAUCUGUAGCUGGUCUGAGAGGACGACCAGCCACACUGGGACUGAGACACGGCCCAGACUCCUACGGGAGGCAGCAGUGGGGAAUUUUGGACAAUGGGCGCAAGCCUGAUCCAGCAAUGCCGCGUGCAGGAUGAA
rnacentral:rRNA from 1 species